UACGGGGGGAGCAAGCGUUGUUCGGAUUUACUGGGCGUAAAGGGCGCGUAGGCGGCCACCGCAAGUCGGUUGUGAAAUCUCCGGGCUUAACCCGGAAAGGUCAAUCGAUACUGCGGGGCUAGAGUGCAGAAGGGGCAACUGGAAUUCUCGGUGUAGCGGUGAAAUGCGUAGAUAUCGAGAGGAACACCUGCGGCGAAGGCGGGUUGCUGGGCUGACACUGACGCUGACAGCGCGAAAGCUAGGGGAGCGAACGGG
rnacentral:rRNA from 1 species